rnacentral:lncRNA from 1 species
GAGAGCUACAGCUGCCUGCUGUGAACCUCCAUCCUCAUCCAGGCCACUCUCUGGGCAGCCUCCCCUAGAAACCCUGUCCCAAGUCCCCAGGCGAAGCGGAAAAAUACCUGUUUCUACAGACUGCUCAGGAAUUAGGUCGUGAAAUGAAUUUUGGAGAGCAACCGCAUGUGGGAGGCGGGCAUCACGCAGAGAUGGAAGCCCAGAGAGAUGGACCGAUCUGCUGUCGGAGUGAGAGGCAAGCUGCUGCUGGGACAGGCCCUCGUGCAAGAUCAUGCGGCCAGCCUGGCCGGCCUAGCAGGUAUGAUGAUCAGAUCCAAGAUUGGGUCACCCCCUUAUUGGACCUCUCACCUCCCCACCGUGACCACAUGUCUUCAAGCCAACUUGCCAGGAAGCUAGCCCCGGUGCGUGCCCCAUCCCUCCGUGACUCCACCUGCCCUGCCCUCCUGCAAGAGAUCCCAGCCCAAGGUUGGCCCUGGGGACAGGCCAUGACAAGCAGGGGGUCAGAG